UACGUAGGCAGCAAGCGUUGUUCGGAGUUACUGGGCGUAAAGAGCUUGUAGGCGGUUUGUCGCGUCGUCCGUGAAAACCCGGGGCUCAACCCCGGGCUGCGGUCGAUACGGGCAGGCUGGAGUUCGGUAGGGGAGACUGGAAUUCCUGGUGUAGCGGUGAAAUGCGCAGAGUAUCAGGAGGAACACCGGUGGCGAAGGCGGGUCUCCUGG
rnacentral:rRNA from 1 species